GCCUCGGUGGUGUAGUGGUAGAGCACGCGCCCUCUGUAUGGAUAAAACGAGGGUUUGAUUCCCGCCUGAGGCC